AAAGGCAAAAUGACCAUUAAAAUUAACCUUUCAAAAAUAAUAAGAUAAAAGGUGUUUAAUCAACAUCAAGUACAUUUUUCAAAAUCACACUAAGCUUUUUUUUUAAUAAGCACCUCAUACCAUUUCACAAUCCAUUUUCACUAAUGCGAUAAAACACUCUAUCAACAUCGAGUUUCUCUUCCGCUUUCUCAACUCGUUAAUAUUUUUUCCCAACAAAUGCGAAAGAAAUUGUUCC
rnacentral:lncRNA from 1 species